rnacentral:rRNA from 1 species
GAUGAACGCUGGCGGCGUGCCUAAUACAUGCAAGUCGAGCGAACGGACGAGAAGCUUGCUUCUCUGAUGUUAGCGGCGGACGGGUGAGUAACACGUGGAUAACCUACCUAUAAGACUGGGAUAACUUCGGGAAACCGGAGCUAAUACCGGAUAAUAUUUUGAACCGCAUGGUUCAAAAGUGAAAGACGGUCUUGCUGUCACGUAUAGAUGGAUCCGCGCUGCAUUAGCGAGUUGGUAAGGUAACGGCUUACCAAGGCAACGAUGCAUAGCCGACCUGAGAGGGUGGUCGGCCACCCUGGAACUGGGACACGGUCCUGACUCCUGCGGGAGGCCGCAGUAGGGAAUCUUCCGCAAUGGGCGAAAGCCUGACGGAGCGACGCCACGUGAGUGAUGACGGUCUUCGGAUCGUAAAACUCUGUUAUUAGGGAAGAACAUAUGUGUAAGUAACUGUGCACAUCUUGACGGUACCUAAUCAGAAAGCCCCGGCUAACUACGUG